UAUAAAUACAACAUCACAGCUGCGUUUCUCUUAAUCCUCGUUAGGAAACAUGGCGUUUCAAGUGAAGGGCUACUUUCUUCGCCUUCUUGCAAUUUCCACCAUAAUUCUCCUGUGGAGUGGGCUUAUAACAGGUAGGGAAGGAGGACAAGUAUGGGAAUUGGUUACUGUGCAGCGGCUGCGGAGGGUUGUUCCGCAUCCACCACCACCACCUCCAGAAGCGCCAUUUGGACGGUCCCCGGCGCCUUGACGAGCAUCCCCACCUGAUGUCUCCAGAUGAGUGAAAUAGUAACAACAAGCUUUUAUAUUUGGAAAUCUAUAUUUUGAUUUGUAUCCUCAUAUACUAAGCACAUCUUAAGACAUGUUUGAAACCUUAAAUAAGAGGUAAGAAUGAAAAUUUCAAUCAUUAUUUCCUUUGGAUUACUAGUACCAAUCAAAAUCCAUUAUUACAAAGACUUUAUUUCC